ensembl:lncRNA
GGUUCUUCAAAAAGUUGAAUCUCUAUAUGACCUGGCAAUUCUGCUAUAUACUGAUGUGUAUAUUUAAGAGAAAUGAGAUGUGGUAUGGAAACCAUCUAAAGUCCAAAAUUUAGUAGCUCUUCCCUGAUGUCAGAGAAAUCACCUAUAUUUAUUGUAUUGGUUACAUACCAUCAUCCCUGCUAAACCCAACUCACCAUUCAGGUUCUAUCUUUGAGGAAGCAGAGUGGAUAUGAUGAGCUUGUGACUCCAUAGUUUCUAGAAACAAGUUAUGAAGAUUUGGUUUCCUCAGCCCUCUCUGGCCCACUUUGACCUAGAGAAAGGGUGCUGAUGCUGUGAUCUCAAAUAAACCCUUUGCUUUCCCCAGUCAUCUUUACAGCAUUUAUUCAAUGAUUCGUGAACGCUUGCACUUUGUAAAGCGGUGGAAACUAUCCCAAUUGUUCCUUCCUCCUGAGAUCAAAGAAAAUUGAGACUUCCUUUUUCUAUCUGUGAAACCCACUGAUUUUUAGUGUUUCCUUGCUUCCAUUUUCAGAAGUUUCUUUUGCUUUAGUAUUGCCUGCCCCAUCCCCAACCUGAAUUUUCCUCAAGAUCACUGUUACAUUUUUAAAGCCUUUUAUAAAAAUCUGCCACUCCCAUAUAAGAAGCCAGUGAAAGCACAUAAAGAUACUUUACACUUAACAUGCAGGAUGAGGUGGUUCUUUCCUGCUUAGGGCUUCAGAUUCUCCACAGCUUUGUAAAUUUCUUUAGAGGAUGAGCUGAGGGAGAUGAUCUCCCUAGAUGCCUUUUUCUUCCCCAUUUCUUCCCUAGCUCAUGCUAUGGAGCAGUCAUAUCUUCCUCCUACCUCUGCUUGCCUUUAUAAAUAGUCUCACUGCACUUUAAGCAGGUGCUCUUCAAAUUCCAUGCUACCCACAUAUGCAUUGCUACCUGACAAACACUUCUCUUUCAAUCAUGGCUACAGCAUUAUAUUGGUUUUCUAUUAUUAUGUAACAAAUGACCCCAAAUGUGGUAUCUUAAAACAACAUACAACUUGUUAUCUCACAGUUUCUGUGGGUCAGAAGUCCAGCUUGGUCCUUGCUUGUUGUCUCAUAGGCUGCAGUUAAGGUGUUGUCUGGGCAGCAUUCUCAUUUGGAGGCUUGACUGGGAAAGAAUCUUCUCCCAAGUUCACUCAGAUUGUUGGCAGAAUUCAUUUCUCUGCAGUUUUAGGAUUGAAGACCUUGGCUUCUUGCUGGAUGUCAACUGGAGAUUACUCUCAGUAUCUAAAGUCCACCUGCAGUUCUUUGCCAUGUGAGCUUUUCCAAUAUGGCCACUUCAUUAAGCCAGAGCAAGUGUGCUAGAAGAUGAAGUUAUAUAAUGCAGUGUCAUCAUGGGAGUGACUUCUGCUCACCUUUGCCAUGUUCUGUUAAUUAGAAUCAAGUCACAUAUCCACCCAGAGACUCAAGAAGAUGGGAUUACACAAAGCAUGAACACCAGGAGGUGGGAAUCAUAAGGGGCCAUCUUAGAGACUAUCCCCACCAACAAUAGCAAGAAGAAGUUUAAGUUCACCAUUUACUCUCAUUUCUUUCAUGCUAUUCAGCCAGAUAGGUCUAUUCUAUUUUCUUGUCCCAUUGUUGUUUAGCACCACCUUUGAUUUUGUCCAGAAGUUUUUUCCAUACCCUUCUCAAGUUACCACAGAUUCUUUGACAUUCAUAUUGUUCCUGUGAUUACGUUUUCUAUCUCUCUUUUCUUCCUUAAUAAGGAAACAGGAAACCUCAAUUCCACCUACCAGCUAAAGAAGUAAUCAUUUAGCAUAAUUUGUGGGGGUCUUCGUUAAUUGAUUUCCUUUUUAACCCAAGUGUCUUUCCUAGGACUUCUAUCAGCACAAGGAAAGCCAGUUUUUUUGUUUUGUUUUGUUUUUUCUCACUAGCCAUUUAUUUUUACCUAUCACUAAUCUCCGUUGAGAGAGGCAACCUGUCCUAGGCCAUGCUAGGGAUGCCGAGAAUGCAAGGUUCUGACUGUUUCUUAUCUGUUUCUCAGCGUUAUAUUUGCAAUGAGCAACUUUUAGGGUUAAGGUAACGUCUACUCGUGAACAAAGAUCAGGCUUGUUUCUUCUUACUGUAAAAGCAGUGAGUCCCCAAAGCUCAGUGUUUCUCUACUGUAAUGCAGCCCACUGCAUGUGCAGGCAUCUAUCAUAGAUGCUGUGCCAAUCCCAUGGGACUUGGGAGACAAGGGGAACUGAUGCAAAAAAAAAAAAAAAAAAAAAAAAA